GAUGAACGCUGGCGGCGUGCUUAACACAUGCAAGUCGAACGGUCGUAGCAAUACGAUAGUGGCGCACGGGUGAGGAACACGUAGCUAACCUGCCCCCAAGUACGGGAUAACUUCCCGAAAGGGAUGCUAAUACCGUAUAAGCUCACGCCGAGUAGGUAGGUGUGAGAAAAGGUUUACUGCUUGGGGAGGGGGCUGCGGCCCAUCAGGUAGUUGGUGAGGUAACGGCUCACCAAGCCGACGACGGGUAGGGGGUCUGAGAGGAUGGCCCCCCACACUGGGACUGAGACACGGCCCAGACUCCUACGGGAGGCAGCAGUGAGGGAUAUUGCGCAAUGGGGGAAACCCUGACGCAGCGACGCCGCGUUGGGGUGAUGAAGGCCU
rnacentral:rRNA from 1 species